CCUACGGGAGGCAGCAGUGAGGAAUAUUGGUCAAUGGGCGGAAGCCUGAACCAGCCAUGCCGCGUGAAGGACGAAGGCGUUCUGCGUUGUAAACUUCUUUUAUAAGGGAAGAAACCUGGAUUUUCUAAUUCAGCCGACGGUACCUUAUGAAUAAGCACCGGCUAACUCCGUGCCAGCAGCCGCGGUAAUACGGAGGGUGCAAGCGUUAUCCGGAUUUACUGGGUUUAAAGGGUGUGUAGGCGGGUUUGUAAGUCAGGGGUGAAAUCCUACAGCUUAACUGUAGAACUGCCUUUGAUACUAUAGAUCUUGAAUAUUGUUGAGGUAGGCGGAAUACAUCAUGUAGCGGUGAAAUGCUUAGAUAUGAUGUAGAACACCGAUUGCGAAGGCAGCUUACUAAGCAAAUAUUGACGCUGAGGCACGAAAAGCGUGGGGAUCAAACAGGAUUAGAUACCCUGGUAGUCCACGCCCUAAACGAUGAUUACUCGACGUACGCGAUACACAGUGUGCGUCUGAGCGAAAGCAUUUAAGUAAUCCACCUGGGAAGUACGACCGCAAGGUUGAAA
rnacentral:rRNA from 1 species